rnacentral:rRNA from 1 species
UUAAAUUUAAGUGUAAAAAAUUGGAGUAGUAUUAGUUAUGUUCUUAAAACUUAAAAAAUUUGGCGGUAUUUUAUUCUUUUCAGAGGAACCUGUUUUAUAAUCGAUAUUCCGCGAAUAUUUUACUUUGUUUUAUUAAGUUUGUAUACCGCCGUCAUCAGGAUAUCUUAAAAGAGUAAUAAUUUUCUAGUCUUAAAAUUUUUAUUUAUGUCAGGUCAAGGUGCAGCUUAUAAUAAAGUAAAAAUGGGUUACAAUAAAGAUAUAUUUAUGCGGAUUUAAAAAUUAAUAAUUUUUUUGAAGAUGGAUUUGAUAGUAAAAUAAUGAUGGAUAUGGAUUAUUUGAUUUUAGAUCUAAAAUGUGC